rnacentral:lncRNA from 1 species
UUGAUUAGAAUGGCUAGACUGUGGUUACAGAAAUAGUCAUAAGUUCCCUGUUAAUCAAUGAAGAAUUCUGUAUAGCAGUAAUGAAUUCCGAUAUUUUUCCCUGUAUUUAAAGUGUCUGGCAGCAGGCCAGAGGUACUGAGGCUGUGGGUUAGAGUCUGUUUUGGAGACAGCAAACAGGAUUUUAACUGCAUGAUACCAAUUGACUUCCAGCAUUUACAAAAAAAAAUGGAUUUAUGGCCUCAGCUCUGAGGGAAUUGGUAAUACUUACCUCUACUCUUUCAAUGCUCUAACAGCAGGUUUGAAGUGUUGGCUGGGUUUGAUCACUGGCAUUCUGCAGGAGGGACAGGGCCUGGAGUGUCUUCUGUGAAAAACCUCCUGGAAAGAAACACAAGAAUCAAAUAUUUCCCUGCAGUUUGUGCUGUGGAAGGAAA